GAUGAACGCUGACAGAAUGCUUAACACAUGCAAGUCGAUGGGGAAGUGGUGCUUGCACCAUGGCAACCAUGGCGGACGGGUGAGUAACGCGUAAGGGACUUACCUGCAGGACUGGGAUAACAGGGGGAAACUCCUGACAAGACCGGAUAAUGUCAUGGAGCUGCAUGGCUUUAUGAUGAAAGGAGACGCCUGCGGAGAGCCUUGCGUCCUAUUAGCUAGUUGGUGAGGUAAUGGCUCACCAAGGCGAAGAUAGGUAGCCGGCCUGAGAGGGUGGACGGCCACAAGGGGACUGAGAUACGGCCCUUACUCCUACGGGAGGCAGCAGUGGGGAAUAUUGGACAUUGGGGGCAACCCUGAUCCAGCAAUUCUGUGUGCACGAAGAAGGUUUUCGGAUUGUAAAGUGCUUUCAGCAGGGAAGAAGUAAGUGACGGUACCUGCAGAAGAAGCGACGGCUAAAUACGUG
rnacentral:rRNA from 1 species